GUUUCCGUAGGUGAACCUGCGGAAGGAUCAUUAAAGUAUCUUUCGGGUUUGCCAGCGCUUUCACUAGCGCGGGAGCCAAACCUUACACACAGUGCUUAGUUUUUUUCUAACAUUGCUUUGGGUGGAGAGGGAACUUUCCGGCCAGAGGUCUUCAAAACACAAGAUUUUUUAUAUCUUUUUUUUAAAACAAUUAGUCAAAGAAGUUUUUAUUAAACAAAUCUUCAAAACUUUCAACAACGGAUCUCUUGGUUCUCGCAACGAUGAAGAACGCAGCGAAAUGCGAUACGUAAUGUGAAUUGCAGGUUUUCGUGAAUCAUCGAAUCUUUGAACGCAUAUUGCGCCCUCUGGUAUUCCGGAGGGGAUGCCUGUUUGAGCGUCAUUUCUCUCUCAAGCCCUCGGGUUUGGUAUUGAGUGAUACUCUCUUUCUGGGUUAACUUGAAAUAAGUGUGGGAAGAGCUGCUCUUAGCAGAUCUCCUCUGAACAAACGUUUCUAGGUUCUACCAAUUCGUUUCUGUGCAGAUGUGAGUGGGGCUUUGUGGGAAUUUAAAGGGUCGGGCUAACAACAAAUCUUCUAAGUUUGACCUCAAAUCAGGUAGGAUUACCCGCUGAACUUAAG
rnacentral:rRNA from 1 species